rnacentral:tRNA from 1 species
AAGGUAUAAAGCCACGUAAGAAAGCCGCUAACUUUCCUUCUAGCAGUUAAAUUCUGUUAAUACCUUU